AAAAAACAAGUCACUCACCACUGCUUAGACGGAACUAGACAAGCCUCGAUAAGGUUUCAAACAUCGGUCAAUCAAAUUCUUGCAUAAACUAAAACACUCGCAAUCCCGAAAUGGCGAGGGAUAGUUGUCUGGCUCGUAUAACUGCCGGCGUUGCUGUUGGAGGUGCUAUUGGUGGCGCCGUGGGUAAGUUCUCUCAUCAUAAACCCUAAAACAUCUUCUUGUUCUAGUUUUUAUCAAUACCUUCGCGUCUUGUUAUUGGGUGUGGUUCUUUAAUGCUCCCUAAGUUGUUGUUAUUUAAAUUUCCAAAGUCCACCGAUUUAUCUUCUCAUACAAACACACAAAAUCCAUAAACCAGUUGUCCUAUAAAUUUACGACUUCCAUUGUAUUACGCCUUGAUUUGGGAAAGGGGGAUCGAGGGACUUUUUCUUGAUUGUGAGUGCAAAAGUUGAUCUUUGAAUGCCAAUUUUUUCACUACUCUUUGGAAUGCUUUGGUGAAAGAAAUCCUGUACCACUAGAUGUAGACUGGUUUUAGGAGUACUGUAAAGGGCGUGAUUUUAAUGAAAAGACUGGGUCUAAUACAUCAAGACUUGAAAUUUCAGGAGAUGUGCAGAUGGGGUUUAUUUAUAAGAAGGUAUUAAAUGGAAGUCACGGAAUAGCUUGCAAAACGGGGACGCCCUUGAUGAUAUUGCCGGGUGCCUAAUAGUGGUGGAUUUCUUUAUUCUAAACUGAGAGGCUCCCGUGUUCUUCAACUUAGAAGCUUGAGAAGUUUAAUUAAAAUAGCGUUGGUAACUUUUGUUGGUAACUAAAAUAGCAGGGUCUCUAGAAGUGUUUGUUUGAUGGAAUUGGAAAAAUUAUAGUUGGACUAGAGUUGGUUAAAGAGAAUGGUGACCGAAGUCUGUUAAUUGUACUGUACGGGGAAAGAUUUAUAAAGAAGCAACAAGUCCACACUGAAUUUAAGAUGAUUGCAGAGAGAAAUAAAACAGCUAGAUUGUAGCUUAAGGGGCUGUUUGUUUUGCAUCCAAUAUUUUCCUGCGAAAACAUUUUCUCAUAAAAUGAAAUAUUUUACUUUGUGGAUGUGACAUGGAAAACAAGCUGGAAAAUAUUUUUCAGCAACACUGGAAAUUGUUCAGAUGAUUAUUGAUACAGGAAAAUCAAUUAUGUUUAUUACCAAAGAUAAUUUAUCACAAAUUAAACAUAUAAUUUUUUUUGUUUGAUGGAUAUGUAAAGGAUUUUUACUUUUAUUUGGAUUGUAAUAAACUAUUUGUUUAUGAAAUUUUAGAACAUUAGGUUGCCAGCUUAGCCAAUGACAAUCAUGUGUUUAAAAAUACAUCGACAUAGGUUUUAUAACCAAUAUAUGUCCCAUGAAAAUAGAAUGUUAAAAUGCAAUUUUAUCACAAUAGGAGAUUUCAUAGCCAAACACGUGUCAAUAAAAAUAGAUAUAUGAACAAAAGUUUACCAUGACAACUACAUGUCCAAAACCAGAAGAAUAACUUAGUACAUGUGAAAGUCAUAUUUCCAUCUUAAACAAACAUGCUUUAAUUUUAAAAUUUCAUAGUGAUAGGUAAGUUUGUAGCCAACAACUCAAUGUAAACAUUAAAUAGAAAAACUGUAGGGUUAUUGUAGCAAUGACCUGCCUGCUGAGGGUAGCAACGUGGUCUAGGAACAUGAACUAGGUUGUGGAAAACAUAAUAUUUAAAAUUCUAGCUUUAACUUCUUUGAUGCAAGUUAAAAGGGUGUGCUUGUACAGUUUACACAAUGGAACUUUAACUAUCUUGGUGUGUGCUUUUGCACUUCAUAUCUAGCCAUGACCAUUGAUUUUCUCAUUGAUAUGCAAAAAAGAAACAUUGGCUAGUGGACAAUCUUAAAAAGAUAGUUUCAAUUCAUACAAAUCCAGUCUUAUAUAUUCAAUCUUUGGUUCACUGUUAAAACUAUAGUUUGUUUUGCUUCAACUAUCCAUCUAAUAUGAUUUCUGUGCAGGUGCUGUUUAUGGAACAUAUGAGGCAGUAAGGUAUAAGGUACAUCAUCUGACCUGAUACCGAAAUUCACAAUUUAGAGUGUGGAGACCUUAUUAAAUGCCUGCUCUUGACCAUUCAUUGUUCUUUAGUGAAAUAGAAAUAUGUACCCUGUUGUCUUCUUUUUCUUUUGAUUUAUAGUCUGAGUGAAUGGAAUAUUUUAUGUUACUUAAUGUGUUGCAUAUUGUGGAUUCUAACUUGUAAUUUCCAUGCUUAAGUAUGCGUGUAAAGUUCUAAAGAGAUGGAACAAUGAGCAUCAACUUGGAACUUAAAUUUUAUGAUCAUGGCUUCCCUUAAGUUCAUGUUUGUAUGCUCCUUUUCACUAUGUGCAUCCCCUCUAUCCCCUGCCAUAGAUAUGAAAUAAAACAGAAGGUCAGAAACAGCCAGAAGAUAAUGGCGUGCAUUGGUUUUUGUCACCCUCAUUUUUCUGUUUGGGCUGAGCCUGUGAGUUUAAUCAGCCCUGAGAUGCUUAGAAAGAUCUGUUUCCUUGUGCUUCUGGGUGUCUCUGUUUGCUUUCUGGAGUAGACUUUGUGAAACUCACAACUCUCAAAGGCCGUUGGUUGUUACUAGUUCUGUCAUAUGGUCCUGGUUGCCUUCAAAAAGAUUUCCCACUGCCCAGUUAGUGAACAUCCGCCCUAUCUGCUAUUUUUUAUUUUAUUAAAAUACUAUCCAAAUUUUGAUUUUUUUUUUUGUUUAUUUAUGCAGAUUAUCUUGUUUUAGAUAUGUUAUGUUAAAGGAGUUUAAACUGAAGUGAAUGCAUUUUUCUUGGUAUUCCAUUGUAAGUGUUCAUCAGUUAAUUAAUUAGUUUGGAAAAAUUCAGGUACCUGGACUUUUGAAGAUCAGAUACAUUGGACAAACCACACUUGGCAGUGCUGCCAUCUUUGGUCUUUUCCUGGGUGCUGGGAGCUUGAUACAUUGUGGGAAAUCAUAUUGAUUUGUUCUAUUCAGAGCAUCAAGAAAUCAACUUUGUUCUGCUCACAAGGAUCUGUGCUUUCAACUUCACUUGCCUUUGAGCUGAUGGAUAGAACUUGUGGUAGCGAUUAGUUGUUUCUUUCAACAUAAAAUUUCAUAUGAUGUUAUGGCUUUCAGAAACAGCUUAGCAGCAAUUAGCCUUGCGAAAUUUCUUGGUUAUUGUCACUUUCACAGUUGUCUGGCUCCUUGAUGGUUGCCUCUUUUUUUUUCUUUUUUGCCUCUCUCAUAGUAGUAGUCUUUUCUUUAGAUGUAAAACUUUAUCUAUGCCAUUUCCAUUGCCAAUCCAUAAUUUGAUUUACAUGGCCAAAAGCUGUAUUAGCACUCGUCUUUAUAGUCUCGAAGAGAGCAAAUGAAGAUAUAGCAGCAAAGAUGUGGGAACUGAUCUCACCAUGGGCUUGACCAUAGGUUUUCAUGGUCUGAUAUCGCCUUAGCACCUUCCGGUGAAGAAAUGAAAGUUCGAUUCUUUAGAGCUAUUAUUUAGAGCGAUGGGACUCAAGAAAAGAAGAAAACUAUCUUGAUCAUCAAAUUUAUCCCGGGCUUAGCUUCAACAGGCAAUUAGAGUUAAACAUACAAAUGGUUGAUAUCAUAAAAGACGCUUUCUGGGCAUCAUCAAGACAGAUUGAAAAUGCAUCGAUCAAUCUGCAAACUACAUUUUUAGUGCUUCGGAUUCGGUAAUAGCUUCGGUUUGGAAUCAGAUGUUUUGACCUGUGGUCUACUUUUCUUCUCUCUUUUUUUUUUAUCCUUUUCUAGCCAGCAUUAUACAUUGUUCACACAAACAGCCAUAAAAUUUCACACAGAAAUCGCUUUUUUAACUGUCUUUGACCUCUUCUGUUAAAAUCUGCGAAGAAUUUAGAAAGAAAAAAUAAUUUAGAAUUUAACUACUUAAGAGACCUAAUUGAGAUGAAAAAUAUUUUAAGGACUUAUUUGAUUCUUAGCCAUAGUAUUGGGGGCUAAUUUCGAGGUUUUGCCGUGCCCUGAAGUCUUCCCGAUCAAAACUUAAGAGGAGAGGAGGCUGGUUUCCAAACGUCAAAUCGUCUUCUUAUUCUUAUUCUCCCUCGAAGCCGCCAAACUGCGGUCUCCUUCAACACCAUCACUGCUUUAGUUUCUCUCUGUAACUUUCAAAUUCAAACAUCACAACAGAGGGAAACCUUGUAGAAACCCCUCUCCACUACCAACAGGUAAACCUUGUAGAAACCCCUCUCCACUACCAACAGGUAAACCCCAUAAACAUCCCCUGCUCAAAAUUUGAUUUCUCUGUUGUUUAAUGUUACUGAACUAGAGAGCUAGUUAUGGCAUCAAAGCUGCUUAAACUUCUUAAAUAAUAUUUAUGUUAUUUUAUUUAUUAAGGGUAGAAUAAUAUUUUUAUUUUAAUCUAUAUAUAUUUUAUUUAUAUUUAGCUUAAUACAAUACAUUUAUAAUAAAUAGAUUAUUCAGAAUUCUAACCUUUAUUUUAUGUUUGAUUUCAAUUAAUUUAACAUGAUAUUAAAACUGGUUUUAUAAAAUGAGGCUUAAUUCUAAAUAUAAUUUUGCGGAUCUAACUUUUUAGAUUGCUUCGAGAUUUGGUUCAUGUACAUUAAUUUUUUUUUUAUAUAAAAAAUAGUGAAAGAUAAUUCUAAUCAAAAAUAUAAAUACUUAUCCCAAAGUUAUAAAGUUUUUAGAUUAAAAUAUUUAUUUUUAGAUUGAAAAUCAUUUAGUAAUGAUAAAUUGUUAAUUAAGGGAUCCAGAAUUUAAAAUUGUUUUCUAAGUUUACCUAAUACAUGACGCUCAUGUGUUAAUUAAGUAAUAAUUUUGAUUUUAUUAUUUUAAAUCGUAUAAAAAACUUGAUUAAGAAUACCCUUUGCAAAUUAAUUGCCUCAAACAAUUCUUCAAAUUGCUAAAAAAAUAAAAAUAAGUAGCACACAUAAAUAAAAUAAAAAUUAUACAACAAGAACAACUUAUAUCUUAUUUUAUCAUGCAAUAAUAAUUAUUUUUUAAAAUAUAUUUUUUUUAAAAAUAAAUUAAUUUUUAAAUUUUUUUUUAAAUUAUAUUUUAUAGUAUUUUUAAAACUAUAAUAAAAAUUAUUUUUAAUAAAAAAUUUUAAUUUCUUUUUUAUUAAAAGCGUUAGUAACACAAUUUCAAACCGCUCAGCAAUUAGAAUCAGAAGAGACCGUAAAAAACAAGUCACUCACCACUGCUUAGACGGAACUUGACAAACCUCGAUAAGGUUUCAAACAUCGGUCCAUCAAAUUCUUGCAUAAACUAAAACACUCGCAAUCCCGAAAUGGCGAGGGAUAGUUGUCUGGCUCGUAUAACUGCUGGCGUUGCUACUGGAGGUGCUAUUGGUGGCGCCGUGGGUAAGUUCUCUCAUCAUAAACCCUAAAACAUCUUCUUGUUCUAGUUUUUAUCAAUACCUGCGCGUCUUGUUAUUGGGUGUGGUUCUUUAAUGCUCCCUAAGUUGUUGUUAUUUAAAUUUCCAAAGUCCACCGAUUUAUCUUCUCAUACAAACACACAAAAUCCAUAAACCAGUUGUCCUAUAAAUUUACGACUUCCAUUGUAUUACGCCUUGAUUUGGGAAAGGGGGAUCGAGGGACUGUUUCUUGAUUGUGAGUGCAAAAGUUGAUCUUUGAAUACCACUUUGUUCACUAUUCUUUGGAAUGCUUUGGUGAAAGAAAUCCUGUACCACUUGAUGUAGACUGGUUUUAGGAGUGCUGUAAAGGGCG
rnacentral:lncRNA from 1 species